GGUUACUAGCCAGUUAUAUCAACAUUUAGCAACUACGUUAAACUAGCAACGUUAGCAAACUGUUAGCUAUAUUUCAGAGGUUGAAGGUUGCAUAUUAAAUUAAAUGUGGUCUGUUACGCUGUCAAAUUCGACAAUAUACAGAAUUUCGCACAAAAUGUGUACAUAUUACUCUUUUGAAAACUCUCAUAACCUAACUUAACUAAAACCUAACUUAACUAAAACCUAAUUUAACUUACAUGAAUUGUAAUGAAUAUCUCGGGGGUCAGCUAGCUGGAAGGAUGCAUGUAGUCAUAGCUAUUAUUCUUAUUCUUGUUGACUAUUUUAAUUGAAAUCAUUCACAGUACGGUAGUUAUGUUGGAUAAAUAAAACACAUAAGAAGCCGUAUGUAUCUUAUAUUAAAGGGCCAAUGCAGCCGUUUUUAUUCUCAACAUCAAAUCCUUUCUGGGUAAUGAUGAAGUAGUUUCCUGGUUUUGUUUUCAAAGAUGUCCACUGUCUAGGUGUUCACUUCCCCCACGGGUUACUAUAGCAACAUACAUCACCCCCAUGGGUUACUAUAGCAACACACAUCACCUGUCAUUUAUCUCUUGUUUGUCAAUUCUGAGUGACAUUAAAGUUGUGAAUUUGCUAAUCCAUUGUUAAGGUUUUGUUGGUGAACCGCUCUUUGGUGGUAUACACAUCUUACAGUGUAGUUUUAUAAAUUCCUACAUGAAAUAAUAACUUAUUCAAGCAUAAACAUUCAGUAGAACGCUGCUUUAAAACCACGCAUCAGUUCAACAAUAGUUUGUGCUCCUGUUUUUAAGACAGUACUUACUGGUCUUAAUCAGAUCACCUGUCUCCUCCAAUGUGAGUUAUCUCUCCCUCCUCUUUCACUCCAAAAACUGCAUCCUCCUCUUCUUUUACUGUAACUCCUCCUCUUUCACUCUGAACGCGUCUUCCUCUUAUUUCACUGAAACAUCUUUCUCUUCUUCUUUCACUGUAACAGCCUCACCCUCUACUUGUUUUUGUAUUGUAACAUACUUCUCUUCCUCCUCCUCUUUGACGAGAGUUCCUUUCUCCGUCCAGCAGACCUCAUCUUCUUCAGCAGAAGGUGAAUAGCUUAGUGAACUCAUGGUCGGUGAUGAUAGCCAGCUACCCUAGCUAGUUAGCGACUAGCCUAGUGAUAGGCUAAUUUAUCAAGCCAGCUACCGUUACCUGACUAAACGGAAAUAUGACAUUAAACGGGGAAACGAGUUAUAUGACAGAAUUAUGCUUAAAAUACAGAGGCAAAUAUACACCGAAGCAGUCUGAACAGCUUGAAUGUUUCAGUUAGGAAGUUACGGAGGUGUCUGACUAGCUGUUGUUGUUGAAGAAGCGUCCCGUCCACGAGAUUACACGUCACGCCGAUGGCAUCGCCUGAAAGACGCACAUCGCCAUCUGUUGACUGGAGUGGUUAACGCAGAUAAAUGUUUAUUUUAUUUCCAGACAAAAAGUGCAUUUUUACAUUUCUUUCAUUAAAUAAAAAUAUAAUAGUCCGACAACUGCAGAUUUGUAAUAAAUAUAAAUGUAAAACCUACUUCUACAUUCUACCAACCCAACAGAUGUUUCUACUACAGGGAAUAUUAACCAGUGAGGAAACCAAGACUCCAAUAACCCCCGCGGUCGAAAUAAUUGAAGUACUUCACCAUCGAAACGACUACCGCUACAAUCGACCUGUUCGCAAUACAUGGGUAUUGGGAUCUGACCUCAUUGAUCUGCCACCUUCCUCUCCUCUGAAGACCCAGUGAGGGUGGAGCUCAGUCAGAGAGCUGUUGAGGGACUGGUUAGGAACAACACUUCUACAGCCAGAGAGGGGCAGUCAAGAAAUGGAACGGCAAGGCCACAGAACAUGACAUAAGCAGAGCUGUGUGAAACCACCUCAAGUCCCUGGUAGAGCUGGGGGUGGUGUUUACCACUCCACCACACCUUCAGCAGAAGACUAACAGAAGACUAACAACUGAAAGACCAAUGGGCACCCUAAGGAAAUGCCCUUAAAAUAUUCAUUGGAUGCAAUACCCAACCCAAAAUACAAGCUUGUUUUUUUAGGUGUUCUGAAAGACACUAUGGGGGUGUCCACUGAAAGUUGACUAGUAACAACAACUGGGACCUAAGAGACACCCACCAUGAGACCCACUAAAUCUGCCCAAGAAGAGGCAAACAAAAUAAAAACCCACACCAAACUUCAAGACAGGAAGCAAACCAAAAAGGUAGAGCAACUCAAGACAACUGGAGCACUGGGCCAGACACUCUUAAAUAGAACCUGGACCAGCUCAGGUGAAACACCUUCCCACUAACGAGAUGGACAAGCCAGCACAGGUGUAACACAUACUGACUAACGAGGUGACGCCAAUCAGUGCGUCAUACGUGCUAACCAGCUAUACGUGCUAACGAGCUAUACGUGCUAAAGUCCAACCUCAAAGCAUAAAUGGAAAAACCAUUAAGACAACAAAUAUAUCCUAUAUUUUUGUUGGACAAGUUUGCUCACCACCAACAGAAAACAACUUCCAUUUCACUUUAUAAUCUAAUACAAUGCUUCACCUUCUACAAUAUAAACAUGGUGUUCAACGAUUAAAAACCAAGAAAAAACAAAUUUCUAAAUAAUAAUAUACAAUAGUAUUAUUUUUUUUAUCCUUUUUCUUACCCUAGCAUCCUAAUACUCACUAGCUUCUAGAACUCUCGUCCCCUUGGAACGUGCCCAAACAAAACUCAUCUCCAAAAUGUAAAAACAAUGUGUCAAAUUAAAUUGGACAAACAUUUAGGGUUCUACAUUAUGACAUCAUUAAAAUACUCCUACUACAAUGUUAAAACAUUCUACAUUGUGACAUUAUUUCAUUGAUAUCAUGAAACAACUCCAUGUAUUUUCUGAUGUUUAAUCAGAGAUCUUUUAUCAGUGUAUCUCUUCCCACAUUGAUCACAGCUAUGAAAUUUCUCUCCUGUGUGUGUUCUCUAGUGUAUUAUCAGGUUGUCUAGCCAAGUAAAACUCUUCCCACAGUGAUCACAGCCAAACUAUUUCUCUCCUGUGUGUGUUCUCUGGUGUACCAUCAGGCUGUCAAGCCAAGUAAAACUAUUCCCACAUUGAUUAAAUCUAUAUGUUUUCUCUCCUGUGUGUGUUCUCUGGUGAAUAGUUACAUAGUGAGAUGUAGAAAAACUCUUCCCACAUUGUUCACAGCUGUAUGGAUUCUCUCCAGUGUGAAAUCUUCAAUGUAUUUGAAGUUUUACUGAAGAAUUGAAUCUUUUCCCACAGUCAGAGCAGCAGUGAGAUGUAUUCCCUGUGGGUCUCUGCUGGUGUUUCUUAUGUUCUGAUCUGGAGAGACUCUUCUCUGCCUCAUCAGCAUCAUGAUGUUGUUGAGGCUCCCAGAGAAUCCACGAUAGUCCUGUCUCUCUCCUGUGUGAACGACAAAGUCCACUGUUUAUUUGAGGUAAAAGUUGAUGCCCAGAGCAUACCCAUGAAGUUGUACAACAAUUGAUGUCUGUUAAAUUAUUUGACAAUUAAGACAAUCAAGUUAGCAACAAGUCAUAUUUUGUCUCAUUUUCACAUUACUGGUAACUAUAAAUAAAUUAUUAAAGUUGUUGAAAUCCUAAGCAGUGUGCCAGACAACUUUUGGUCUCCAAUAUAUGCCCCUUUCUGUGUUUGCUAAAAUUGCAGCACGAGGGCAAUGCACACACAAUUUGAUUGCAAAAACCCCUCCAUGCUAUGAAUCAUUUCAUAUUUCAGGUGAAACAUGGAAACUAAAAUGUCUUUGUCAUGACAUUUCAUAACCUGAUCACUAGAUAAUUUCGUGAACAAUCCCACUAGGCUACUCUGUAAUGUGUUGUCAUUCUAAAUGUCCUGAAUAAAGGAAAAUAGCUCUG